CUCCGUCCUCGCGCCGUUUUCCUACACUUGCCUCUUCUCCCCGACCGGAGGAGCCGCUCUUUCCGCGCGGCGCAUUCUGGGGACCAAGGUCGAGCCCGCUGCUGCCGCCAUCGCCUGAGGGAAGCGAGAAGAGGCCGCGACCGGGGAGAAAACGCGGAGUCGCCACUGGAGAAAAGUCGACUCCCUAGCAGCAGCCGCCGCCAGAGAGGCCCGCCCACCCGGUCGCCCCUCCCCCUGCCCCGUUCACAAUGCAGCCUGCUUCUGCAAAGUGGUACGAUCGAAGGGACUAUGUCUUCAUUGAAUUUUGUGUUGAAGACAGUAAGGAUGUUAAUGUAAAUUUUGAAAAACUUACAUUCAGUUGUCUCAGAGGAAGUGAUAAUUUUAAGCAUUUAAAUGAAAUUGAUCUUUUUCACUGUAUUGAUCCAAAUGAUUGCAAGCAUAAAAGAACGGACAGAUCAAUUUUAUGUUGUUUAUGAAAAGGAGAAUCUGGCCAGUCAUGGCCAAGGUUAACAAAAGAAAGGGCAAAGCUUAAUUGGCUUAGUGUCGACUUCAAUAAUUGGAAAGACUGGGAAGAUGAUUCAGAUGAAGAUGUGUCUAAUUUUGAUCGUUUCUCUGAGGAUUCACAAGACAGUGAAGAUGAAAAAAAUGCCAGAUCUGGAGUAAGGAGUAUUGUCAUCACUUGGAUUUUGAGAAAGAAAAAUAACUUCUCUGCAAGAUUUCAUAAUUGAGAGAAUUCCUGAGUUGAUAGCUCUAAAGGCAGAUGCUGUAUUUGCCGACUUUAACCCAUUUUUCAACCUGUUUGUUUUUUAAAAGGCUUCACUAAGGGUUGAUAUGUACCAUUGUAUGGGGCAAUUUUAAGUCAGCUAACAUGCUAUGGUAAAGAAGCCUGCUCGAAGAUGCGAGACCUUACUUCACCACAGUAUUUCAC